rnacentral:rRNA from 1 species
GUAGGGAAUAUUGCGCAAUGGGGGAAACCCUGACGCAGCGACGCCGCGUGAGUGAUGAAGGCCUUCGGGUCGUAAAGCUCUGUUGCAGGGGAAUAAAAAAAUGAAGGUACCCUGUGAGGAAGGAUCGGCUAACUUCGUGCCAGCAGCCGCGGUAAGACGAGGGAUCCUAGCGUUGCUCGGAAUCAUUGGGCGUAAAGAGGGCGUAGGUGGCUUGGUAAGUCAGGUGUGAAAGCCCAGGGCUCAACCCUGGAAGUGCAUUUGAUACUGCUGAGCUUGAGUGUCGGAGAGGUUACCGGAAUACCUGGUGUAGUGGUGAAAUACGUAGAUAUCAGGUGGAACACCGGAGGCGAAGGCGGGUAACUGGACGAACACUGACACUGAGGCCCGAAAGCGUGGGGAUCAAACAGGAUUAGAUACCCGUGUAGUCC